GAGAUACUUAGAACACUGAGUCAAAUCAUUCCAAACCUCUCCAUCUGCAACUCUGGCAUGCAUCAGAUUUUACCGCACAUUUCCCAGAAGUUUGUAAAAAUUUCCCAGCACAAAAAGAGCGAGUUGCUACUACAGAUAGUCUCACAGGAUUUGACACAAAA